rnacentral:rRNA from 16 species
GGAUGCAAUCAUACCAGCACUAAAGCACCGGAUCCCAUCAGAAUUCCGAAGUUAAGCGUGCUUGGGCGAGAGUAGAACUAGGAUGGGUGACCUCCUGGGAAGUCCUCGUGUUGCAUUCU